rnacentral:rRNA from 1 species
UCCGAUUGAUCUUGUCGGUGGCUUUCCUUUAUCUUGAAGAUUAAGCCAUGCAUGUCUAAGUAUGAACUGGUUUAAGGUGAAACUGCGUACGGCUCAUUACAUCAGCUAUAACUUUCUUUGAUCAUAAAUUCUAAAUGGAAUAACCGAGGAAAAGCCUGGGCUAAUACAUGCGACAAUUCCGAUAGUAAUAUCGGAAUGCUUUUAUUAGAUCAAAACCUUCUAGUUUCUUUACGGGAACUGUUUGUUGGUGACUCUAAAUAACUUUGUGUUGAUCGUAUGACCUUUGUGUCGACGACAUAUCUUUCAAGUGUCUGACUUAUCAACUUUAGACGGUACAUUAUAUGUCUACCGUGGUUGUAACGAGUACAGAGAAUCAGGGUUUGGUUCUGGAGAGGCCGCCUGAGAAACGGCGACCACUUCCAAGGAAGGCAGCAGGCGCGCAAAUUACCCACUCUCAAAACGAGGAGGUAGUGAAGAGAAAUAACGAUGUUAGUCUUUUUAAGGCUGACAAUCGGAAUGGGAACACUGUAAACAGGUUAUCGAUUAACAAUUGGAGGGCAAGUCUGGUGCCAGCAGCCGCGGUAAUUCCAGCUCCAAUAAGGAAAACUAAAGUUGCUGUGUUUAAAAAGCUCGUAGUUGAAUUUCGGGUAUUUGUUGCUAGCUGGUCUAACUGGCCAUGUUGGUUAACAGAUCCUCAUUUGCUGGACGGCUGGCGAUGAUCUUCAUCGAUUGUCGUCAGUUGCCAGAACGUUUACUUUGAGAAAAUUAGAGUGCUAAAAGCAGGCUCACGCCUAUAUAUAUUGCAUGGAAUAAUGAAAUAAGAUCUCGAUUUUAUUUCGUUGGUUUUAGAAAUUGAGAUAAUGAUUAAUAGGAUCAGAGGGAGGCGUACGUACUGUGGUGUGAGAGGUGAAAUUCUUGGAUCGCCACAGGACGAACAGCAGCGAAGGCGUUCGCCAAGAAUGUUUUCAUUAAUCAAGAACGAAAGUUUGAGGUUCGAAGACGAUUAGAUACCGUCCUAGUUCAAACCAUAAACGUUGCCAACUGUCUUUUAGAUGCGGUUAUUUAUAUGACUCAUCUGGCGGAUCUCGAGAAAUCUAAGUUUUUAGGUUCCGGGGGAAGUAUGGUUGCAAAGCUGAAACUUAAAAGAAUUGACGGAAGGACACACAAGAAGUGGAGCCUGUGGCCUAAUUUGACCCAACACGGGAAACCUUACUCGGCCAGGACACUUUUAGGAUUGACAGAUUGAG